rnacentral:lncRNA from 1 species
ACCGGAUUCCCCCGACGGACGAACUCCUGCUGCAUCUCCCGAGCUUCUCCAGCGAUAAGCUUCUUCGAUCGUCUAUCAGGCUGUUCUAAAUGCUCUCUAGAUUCUACUAUCGACCGACCUCCUACAAGGAUCAACCGUUCUCCGAACCUCUUCCAGAUCUUUUCCAACAGGAUUCGAUCGACUCCAAUCCGAAUUUCUUUCAGAACUUCGUCAGUUCGUCAGUGGCCAAACUUUUCCAACAGCAGAUCUCCACGACGGACGAACUCCAUCCAAGCUUCUACGACGGUCGACCGCCUUCUGGAUUUCAUCCGAGCUCCUACGGGAGCCGGACUUCUUCCCCAAACUCCUACUGCAGGUAGACUUCAUCCGAGCUCCUACGAGAGCUAGACUUCAGCCCUGAGCUCCUAUUGCAGGUAGACCUCAUCCGAAUUCUUACAAAGGUCGGGCUCCGAGCCCCCACCACAAGCGA